UUUUCAUCGACUGCUGCAGCCUCUCAGUGUCAGUGUCCGUGGAGAUCAGGAACUCUAGCUGUGAGGAACGGAGUCUUUAUUACACAUCACACGUUCUGUAUUCUCUCUGAUUGACCGAGGAUGGACAAGGACAGUAGUCACAGGACUGAGAGGAUAAUAAAAAUCACCCUGGAGAUCAUCUACCUGCUUACUGGGGAGGAUUACACAGUAGUGAAGAAGACAUCCAGUGAGUGUGAGAUACUCAACAGCCAUCCCCGUGUGUCAGGAGGACUGAGUAGAACCCAGAGCCCAAUCACGGUGCCUCCACCUGACUCACUAAUACAUGAGAGACACAAUGACCAAAAGAUCCUGGAACUCACCAACAAGAUCAUUCAGCUGCUGACUGGAG